GGAAUAUUGCACAAUGGAGGAAACUCUGAUGCAGUGACGCCGCGUGCAGGAAGAAGGUUUUCGGAUUGUAAACUGCUUUAGAUAGGGAAGAAAAAAGACAGUACCUAUAGAAUAAGCUCCGGCUAACUACGUGCCAGCAGCCGCGGUAAUACGUAGGGAGCAAGCGUUAUCCGGAUUUAUUGGGUGUAAAGGGUGCGUAGACGGCGCGGCAAGUCUGAAGUGAAAGGCAGGGGCUUAACCCCUGAACUGCUUUGGAAACUGCCAUGCUAGAGUGCUGGAGAGGUAAGUGGAAUUCCUAGUGUAGCGGUGAAAUGCGUAGAUAUUAGGAGGAACACCAGUGGCGAAGGCGGCUUACUGGACAGUAACUGACGUUGAGGCUCGAAAGCGUGGGGAGCAAACAG
rnacentral:rRNA from 1 species